rnacentral:ncRNA from 2 species
GGGCAGUGACACCCAGUCGUUAUGUCACCCUAAAGCUGGACUUAGAGUCACAGUCAUGGAAAUUCUGGGCAGUAGCAGAGACUUGCAGUCACUAACCAAUAGGAUGCCGUUGGAUGUUGCUACCCAACUGACUCA